UGCUACAUAGUGGCUUAGUGGUUAGCACAUUCGCCUCACAUCUCCAGGGUUGGGGGUUCGAUUCCCAUCGUGGCCG